UUGCCUCAGCACAGACAUCCUGGAGGGCGGCCAUGUUGGGGCCCCCAGGGGCGUGUGGCUUGCGUAUGUUUCCACUUGGCCUUGACUUGUCCUUUCGGAUAUUUAUCACACGGUGGAGACCCAUUGUGUCCGGGAGUGGAAAUCAGGGAAGCAGGACGUUCUGUCAUCUCCCCACUUGGAUUUGAGGACUCUUGUCUUUCCUGGGGACACGUGAUUGGAUUACUUCAUCCAGCUUGCUCAGCCUCUGCUCUUCUGAGGAAAGAAGGUGACACACGAUUUCCAUCAUUUCUCUAUCACAGUUGCCUCAGGAAGCGGGGAAGGAGGGGGAGCAGCACUGUAGCUGGAACAUAACCUGAUGGCCCCCUCGUGUCUCAGAUCAUCGGGCACCAGUACUAGUGGAGGCUGUCCUUGUAGCACUUGGCGCAGAACGAAGAGGAGUACCAUUUCUGCUCUGGCUCUGACAGGUGUUGUUAGACCCACAACCUGAACUGUCACCCCAGAGAAAAGAAGACUGAGCUAAGCCAGAGCUGGUAGAACCAAGACCACAGUGCUCUGAAGCUUUAACACGGUCUGGCUGACCCCAGGACUGACCUUCCCCCUGCCUCAUCUCCAUUCAGCUGCCUUGAUAUCUUGAGCUGAGAAGGAGGUGUGUGUUCAGGAUCUCAGUGGCAUCCUGCGCUGUGUAACAAGUGGAUGUGUGAGUGUGAACACACUGCAUAGAAAAAGGGAGAGAAGCCAGGAGCUCAUGCUGGAUCUGAACAUGUCAGGACAACUGAUUGAAAAAAAUCAGUCAGUGAUUUAGGUAUGGGACUCUGAACCACUGGUUUUGUUUCCACCAUUUGUUCUCCUCCAAAUGGAAUGAUUUCCUAGAUUCUUUUCCUGCACUUCUCUGUGGGCUGAGAAAUGAUGGUCAUGGAACCAGUGCCAGCUGAGAGGGCAUCUCAUGUGUGUAAGCUGUUGCCCAAGUCGUGGGCUUUCAGAGAAAGGACUGGAUACCCAGUGUCAUGUCCACUCAACAGCCAGGCAAGACUGGGUUCUUGAAGCCACAGCUCUUCACUGACUCCUUGAGCAUCCAUGUGACUCUAGAGUUUAGCUAUGCAAGUGCAAGCUUUGCUCUCAAAUACAUGUGCAAUGUAAUUAGAGGAUAGCUGAUGCCUGAUUCACUGGCCUUACAAAUCUGUAGCUGCCUGGAUUUCAACUGUCAAUACAUGCUGAAGUCCUUUUCGGAUCAAAUUUAAGUUCAGAUAAAGAGUGUGUGGUGGGGACACAGUAAAUAUUCCUCCAAACAGCUGGGUACUCUGUAGCCUCAGAAGGUUGGCAAGAUAAAUCACAGCUCAGCAUAAAGCCUAUGUCGGUGUCUGGUGUUUAAAAAGUGUGGAGGAGAGGCUCAGCCCACAGCCUCUGUGGACAGGUUUUCUUUCAUCAGCUUUCUAGCCAGAGGAUGUGAAGACAAGCUAAAGGAACUGAUGGGCUGCAGCUGAGAUAGGUCAGAUUUUCACUCUAGCCUCCUUAACUGGCCACAGGGCCCCUUCGUUCCCUGACUUCCAUCAUUGCUCUUUCCUGUGAUGUCUGACCUCCCCAGUGUCACUGCAUCUGACUCUUACUGCCUCCUCAGCACCUGCGGCCCCAUCUCCUCCAAGUUCUGAACUUCACAGGCAUCUUCUGAGGUACAGCCAUGUUUGGGUGCCCAGCCGGCUCUUCCUGCAGGUCUUCCUGCUUUCCUGAUGUCCCUCAGCUCACAACCUCUCUUUUCUAGCAGAGCAUAGAAAGACAGGAGCUGACUUCUGGAUGCCUGGUCAUCAUUUCCUUCUUUAGUUCCAUUUUACAAGCCCAGGUGCUGUAUGAAAAACAGGGCAUGCUAACCCUGUCUUCCAUCCACUAGGGCGGAGCUGACGGUUAAAACAAGGCUCUUUCCCAUGCCAGCAAUUAGACCUCCAUUUCUCAGAAGAGGAAAGAGGGGAAGCGUGAACACACAGAAUGGCUCAUUUUCUAUUUGUCAAAGGAAUAAAUGGAUUAAGGAUCCUUCAGAGAUGGAGUCUUGAUAAGACAGUGAGAGCUGACUGAGAGGGAGCUGCACCCAAUCACGGGGCCACACACCCAGGGACAGUUGCACCUUUAUGGAUUGUUUCCCAGCCAAAUGAUGUUCUGACCAUUAACUCAGGCAUCUGGGAUUCCCCAAAGAAACAGAUGAGUAGCAUCACUUGGGG
rnacentral:lncRNA from 1 species